GAUGAACGCUGGCGGCGUGCCUAAUACAUGCAAGUCGAGCGAACGGACGAGAAGCUUGCUUUUCUGAUGUUAGCGGCGGACGGGUGAGUAACACGUGGAUAACCUACCUAUAAGACUGGGAUAACUUCGGGAAACCGGAGCUAAUACCGGAUAAUAUUUUGAACCGCAUGGUUCAAAAGUGAAAGACGGUCUUGCUGUCACUUAUAGAUGGAUCCGCGCUGCAUUAGCUAGUUGGUAAGGUAACGGCUUACCAAGGCAACGAUGCAUAGCCGACCUGAGAGGGUGAGCGGCCACACUGGAACUGAGACACGGUCCAGACUCCUACGGGAGGCAGCAGUAGGGAAUCUUCCGCAAUGGGCGAAAGCCUGACGGAGCAACGCCGCGUGAGUGAUGAAGGUCUACGGAUCGUAAAACUCUGUUAUUAGGGAAGAACAUAUGUGUAAGUAACUGUGCACAUCUUGACGGUACCUAAUCAGAAAGCCACGGCUAACUACGUG
rnacentral:rRNA from 1 species